CCUACGGGGGGCAGCAGUCGAGAAUCAUUCACAAUGGGGGAAACCCUGAUGGUGCGACGCCGCGUGGGGGAAUGAAGGUCUUCGGAUUGUAAACCCCUGUCAUGUGGGAGCAAAUUAAAAAGAUAGUACCACAAGAGGAAGAGACGGCUAACUCUGUGCCAGCAGCCGCGGUAAUACAGAGGUCUCAAGCGUUGUUCGGAAUCACUGGGCGUAAGGCGUGCGGAGGCUGUUUCGUAAGUCGUGUGUGAAAGGCGCGGGCUCAACCCGCGGACGGCACAUGACACUGCGAGACUAGAGUAAUGGAGGGGGAAGCGGAAUUCUCGGUGUAGCAGUGAAAUGCGUAGAUAUCGAGAGGAACACUAGUGGCGAAGGCGGGUUCCUGGACAUUAACUGACGCUGAGGCACGAAGGCCAGGGGAGCGAAAGGGAUUAGAUACCCUAGUAGUC
rnacentral:rRNA from 1 species